CAUUCUUCAUGUAGUCUGGAUACAAGUCCCUUGUCAGAUAUGAUUUGUAAAUAUCAUACCCCAUUCUGUGGGCUGUCUUUUCACUUUCUUAAUGUCGUCCUUUGAAGCACAAACAUUUUUCAUUUUGAUGAAGUCUAAUUAUGCAUUUUUAUUUGAUUGAUUAUGCUUUUCGUGUCAGAGAUAAGCAACCAUUGCCAAAUAUAAGGCCGAGAAGAUUUAUUCCUUUGUUUUCUCCCAAGAAUUUUACAGUAAUAGCUAUUAUACUUAGGUCUGGUGCUCGCUUUCAAGUUGUGAGGCUUUUCUUUGUUGUCGUUGUUGUUGUUGUUAAAAAUAAUCUUUGGUUAGGGCUAUUGAAAGUAUAUAAUGGAUAAAAAAAUAAAGCACUUUGAUUUUUCAAAAAAGGAUUGAUGUUCUGCUCUGUCCUGUUGUUGAAAUUACUAGUCACAGGAGACCAAAAUUAUAGGUUUUGUUUCUUGAAGGAAUAAAUAAAUGCCCCAGUCUCAAAUUAAAUUUUAUUCUAAAAUUGAGCUGACGACUCACACAAGAUCCAGUUUUGGAAGUGUUUUGACAUGGCCCCCAGUGAGCGUUUCGAGAAACACAUGUUAUAAAAUAAGAGUGUAAACAUUCAUGUGGGUUGCUUCAUAGGGAAUUUUUUAAGUACUGUAUUUGACUUUAUGGGAAAGACUUGAGAGUAUGUGACUUGGUUGUCUGCCCAUACUCAUACACUCUUUAGAUGUGGAAAUAGACCACAUAGUUUUAAUCAAGGAGAGAGCAGAUACAUCUCCUCAGGUUCCUUAUAAUCACCAUGUUCAAUGGGAAGUUAAUAGUGCAUAUCUUACGGCAUCGUGAGGGUUGUAUUAGUUGACAUAUUAAAAGGCUUAGAAUACAGCCUAAUGCUUAGUAGAUGCUCAAGUGCUUAUUAUAAAAUGUCAUUUAUUUAAAAAUAUUUCUAAUAUACAGUUAAGCCACCAGCAUUAUUUGCACUUCCAACUUGAAUGUUAAAUACUACCAUAAUGUUUUUGACUUGUUGUGUAAAUAUGUGUUAAUUAUUAAUUUUGCCCACAGGAGCCAUUGCUUUUAUGAAUAACUUAAUGAGAUAGUCUAAUAACAUUUCUAUUAUUGAUAACAUUUUUUACUUAGUUAUAAUCUAGGUUCAGAAGUGCAGUUGUAGAACCAGAUGGGAGAAUGGAUUGAUGUCAGAUUCUCGUCCUUACUUAUGACAGUUUAAGGGCUGAAAUGCCGCUAGGGCUUUCUGGAAUGGCACUGGGGAUGGUUAGAAGCAAAACCAAGCAGGCAGAAAUGCCGCCUUGUUCCUUACAAACAAUCUUCAGGAAAGAGUUCUCUACCAAGGCACUCUUUUUCUCCCAGCCCAAACAUGAGGUAGGCAGGUCAUGAAUUUGAGAGAGGAGCUCAUAGGGCUUUCUGGAGAUGGCUUUAGGUCAAUUACAAGUCAGCAUUUACAGCUUGGGGUUCCAUCUCUGUCCUCAGGGAGUUCCCAGGUUGCGGGCGCUGGAAGGGUGUGUCUGGGAGGGUGAUGGUGGAGGUAAUGAAUUCAUCAGGUGGAUGUUUGUGAGUGAUGGGUCCACAGGCAUCUUCUGGCCAGGAAGGCCCGGCUGCUGGGAAGCAGCCGGAGAAGGAGGGCCAAGGAGUCAACAGCGAGGGGAGGAGGACUGGGCAAUACGGUUGCAAAGGAAUCUUAGGCCAGUUUGGCCUUUAUGGGACAAGCCAUCAUAGAGAUUUACCAUUAAGUGUAAUUACUAUGCAGCAACAAAAUGUAUGUGAAUUUGCCAAUACAUGAAGUUAAAGUGUCAUAAAGACUACCCCCCACCUCAUCUUACAGUUUGUAAAGUACUGCUUCACUCGCUGGGUUCUGAGAAAUAGUUUAACUUGUUUUGUCAUCAUUUUUGAGCAAUUCUGCGAUUUCUCUCUUGCCCGUUAACUCAAAAGCAACAGUAUGUGGCCAAAAUACUCUUUCAUUCUUGUUUGUAGAGUUCACUAAUUAGAAAGGGAUUUUUGAAGCUCCUUUUGAAAUGUGUGCUGCUGACGUGAUCAUGCAUUUCGUGGUUUCUCAGGAGAGAGCAUGGCAGCAAAAUACCAAAUGCUAUGAAAGAGGUAGUGACAUUUCGUGUCUCCCUCUGUUAAUUUCCAUUACGAAAACUUUUAGAUGUGGGUUGAUUUUGUAGGAGGGGAGUCCACGGAGCAAGGAAGGGCUGGGCUGGGAGAGCUGCUUUGGUGGAGAAAAACCUGGUGUCCUUCCAAGCCUGGGCCUUCCGAGAGGCCACAGGGAUGGGCCAAGGGGAGAAAGCCCUGGGCCGAGGCUGAGCAAGGAGCCCACCGGGCCUGGGCUCUGGGCUGGAGGCAAUGCACGCAGGCUUUCCGCUUGGACUGCAGAGUAAGUCAUUAAAUGUUGGCUCCUGCUACUACCAUUUUCACUUAAAAAUUCAAUUAUUUUCAUAUAUAAUAAAUAGAAAAAUAGAGGAAAAAGGAGUUUAAACCUAGCAGGUCUUACUCCGGUGAUUCUGCUCUCCCCCAGGGACAGCUGGCAGUGUCUGGGGAUGGCUUUGUCACAGCUGGUGGCGAAGGUGCUACCAGCGUCUGGUUGGGGGGGGGGGGGUCAGGGAUGCUGCUGGACAUCUUUCACGCACAGGACAGUCCCCCCACUCCCCAUGGAGAACAGCCCAGCCCCAAGGGUCAGCAGUGCUGAACUUGAGAAAUCCUGUCAUGAUCCCUCUCUAACAUGCAGUAACCCCGCCUCUGAUUGCAUGGCCAUACUGGCUUGUUUUCUUUCACCGUUGUAUAUGCACAUAUGUAAUUGUGGACAUAGCUUUUCACACCUAGGUCUUUUUGCUAGGCACUGUAUCCUAGUUCAAAGGGUUACUGUGCAGGCUUCCACACUUAGUAACCCAUGUCUCCUUACUGUAAAUGUUCUAAGUUACUGCUCUUGUGAAUGGCCUACAAUGACCAACUUGGUGUAUUUGGCUUUUUCUGAAUUCCCAAUUAUUUUCUAAGGGUAGGAUUUAUAAGUGUUCAUAUUUUUCUAAGGGGUGAAUUUUUUUGAUGGUUCUCAGCAUAUAUUUCCAAAUCGCUUUCCAAAGAUGUAGUCCUGAUUUCAGAAUGUCAUCGGCAAUGAAUGAACUUUUUUUGGCCUGUGUUUUUGUCCACAUCAAGCAUCCAUGUUAUGAGAAAAAAUAUUUUUUUGCUAAUUUAAUAGGCAAAAAGUGGUAUUUCUUUGGUUAGUAGUCUUUGUGAAGUGCUUUUUAGAGAGACACAUACGCUUUUAAUCGUCUGGCAUCAAAGGUCAUCACGCAGCGUCUGCAUGCCUCUGCAGGGCCGGGAGGACGAGGCCCGUAAUGACUGAGGGU